AGCGAACGCUGGCGGCAGGCCUAACACAUGCAAGUCGAACGGAUCCUUCGGGAUUAGUGGCGGACGGGUGAGUAACACGUGGGAACGUGCCCUUUGGUUCGGAACAACUCAGGGAAACUUGAGCUAAUACCGGAUGUGCCCUCCGGGGGAAAGAUUUAUCGCCAUUGGAGCGGCCCGCGUCUGAUUAGCUAGUUGGUGAGGUAACGGCCCACCAAGGCGACGAUCAGUAGCUGGUCUGAGAGGAUGAUCAGCCACACUGGGACUGAGACACGGCCCAGACUCCUACGGGAGGCAGCAGUGGGGAAUCUUGCGCAAUGGGCGAAAGCCUGACGCAGCCAUGCCGCGUGAAUGAUGAAGGUCUUAGGAUUGUAAAAUUCUUUCAGCGGGGACGAUAAUGACGGUACCCGCAGAAGAAGCUCCGGCUAACUUCGUG
rnacentral:rRNA from 1 species